GGGGCCCGCACAAGCGGCGGAGCAUGCGGAUUAAUUCNAUGCAACGCGAAGAACCUUACCAAGGCUUGACAUGUGCCAGACCGCCGUGGAAACACGGUUUCCCCUUUGGGGCUGGUUCACAGGUGGUGCAUGGUUGUCGUCAGCUCGUGUCGUGAGAUGUUGGGUUAAGUCCCGCAACGAGCGCAACCCUCGUUCCAUGUUGCCAGCGCGUAAUGGCGGGGACUCAUGGGAGACUGCCGGGGUCAACUCGGAGGAAGGUGGGGACGACGUCAAAUCAUCAUGCCCCUUAUGUCUUGGGCUUCACGCAUGCUACGAUGGCCGGUACAAAGGGUUACGAUACUGUGAGGUGGAGCUAAUCCCAAAAAGCCGGUCUCAGUUCGGAUUGGGGUCUGCAACUCGACCCCAUGAAGUCGGAGUCGCUAGUAAUCGCAGAUCAGCAACGCUGCGGUGAAUACGUUCCCGGGCCUUGUACACACCGCCCGUCAAGUCACGAAAGUUGGUAACACCCGAAGCCGGUGGCCUAACCCCUUGUGGGAGGGAGCUGUCGAAGGUGGGACUGGCGAUUGGGACUAAGUCGUAACAAGGUAACCGAAGGGC
rnacentral:rRNA from 1 species